rnacentral:rRNA from 2 species
UACUCUUACUUUCCAGAGACCUAAGCACAGAUAGAUGGGGGCCUUCGGGAACUCUGAGACGGGUGCGGCAUGGCCAUGGUCAGCUCGUGUUGUGAUAUGUUGGGUUAGGUCCCGCACCGGCCGCAACCCUUAUCCUUGUCUGCCAGCGGUUCGCCCGGGAACUCAAAGGAGACUGCCAGUGAUAAACUGGAGGAAGGUGGGGAUGACGUCAAGUCAUCAUGGCCCUUACGAGUAGGGCUACACACGUGCUACAAUGGUGCAUACAAAGAGAAGCGAACUCGCGAGGGCAAGCGGACCUCAUAAAGUGCGUCGUAGUCCGGAUUGGAGUCUGCAACUCGACUCCAUGAAGUCGGAAUCGCUAGUAAUCGUAGAUCAGAAUGAUACGGGAAUA